ACCUGGGUGGCUCAGUCGGUUAAGUGUCUGACUUCAGCUCAGGUCAUGAUCUCACGGUUCGUGGGUUCGAGCCCCACAUCAGGAU
rnacentral:tRNA from 1 species